GAUGAAGACGUAGUGAAAUGCGAUACGUAAUGUGAAUUGCAGAAUUCAGUGAAUCAUCGAAUCUUUGAACGCAUAUUGCGCUCUCUGGUAUUCCGGAGAGCAUGCUUGUUUGAGUAUCAGUAAACACCUCAACUUCCAUAUCUUUUUUGAAAUGGGAGUUGGACUUGAGUGAUCCCAACGCUUUUCCUCACCGAAAAGUGGCGGGUUACUUGAAAUGCAGGUGCAGCUGGACUUUUCUCUGAGCUAUAAGCAUAUCUAUUUAGUCUGCCUAAAAAACAGAUUAUUACCUUUGCUGCAGCUAACAUAAAGGAGAUUAGUUCUUGUGCUGACUGAUGCAGGAUUCACAAAGACGGCUUCGGCCGACUUUGUAAACUCGAUCUCAAAUCAAGUAAGACUACCCGCUGAACUUAAGCAUAUCAAUAAGCGGAGGA
rnacentral:misc_RNA from 1 species